UGAGGAACAUGACCUUCGGCGGGGGAGUAGCCGGGCCCAACGGCCGGGUAAUACCGCGUACGACCACAUGGGGACAUCCCUGAGUGGUGAAAGCAGCAAUGCGCCGAUGGAGUGCCUCGCGGCCUACCAGCUUGUUGGUGAGGUAAUGGCUCACCAAGGCGACGACGGGUAGCCGGCCUGAGGAGGGCGAUCGGCCACACGUGGGACUGAGACACGGCCCAGACUCCGUACGGGAGCAG
rnacentral:rRNA from 1 species